rnacentral:SRP_RNA from 1 species
GGCCGGGUCCCAGGCAAGCUGAGCACGCGAACCUGGUCAGGCGGGGAACCGAGCAGCCAUAAGCGAUCGCUCGACUGUGUUUGGCAAACCCGGCCACC